rnacentral:tRNA from 1 species
ACCUCGCGGGUGUGAUGGUCGGCAUAGCGGACUUUUAAUCCGCCGGAUCGGGUUCGAUUCCCGGGCGAGGUA